rnacentral:rRNA from 1 species
UACGUAGGGUGCGAGCGUUGUCCGGAAUUACUGGGCGUAAAGCGCACGUAGGCGGCUUUGUAAGUUAGAGGUGAAAGCCCGGAGCUCAACUCCGGAAUUGCCUUUAAGACUGCAUCGCUUGAAUCAUGGAGAGGUGAGUGGAAUUCCGAGUGUAGGGGUGAAAUUCGUAGAUAUUCGGAAGAACACCAGUGGCGAAGGCGACUCACUGGACAUGUAUUGACGCUGAGGUGCGAAAGCGUGGGGAGCAAACAGG